GUCAAAGCUCGGCGUCAUCUUCAUCAUCUUUAUCUUCAUGGCUUCAUCCUGUUGAUAGAAAUGGGCAUGGUUUGUGUAUCAAUGAGCACGAGACUUUUAUACAUGCUAACAGGAAUAUUUCCGAAAAAAUAAAAACAUCACUUUGUUGGGAGCUGAAGAAAUGUCGACCCACACACUCCACCCAGGACUCGUUCGAGAUGGGGUAACCAUAGUUACGGUUACAGCGAGGAGCACAAUGAGGAUUCAACCAAUUUUCAAGCUCUUCUCCUACCCUCAUGGGCUCAUCAGGAUAACCAGGCUUCUGUCUCUUACUGCGGAGAAGUUGUUUAGCGAAGCUUUCCUUCACCACAGGAUUAGCUUCUGUGUGAGAUGAGAAGGUUUCCGUGUCAGUUAACUGUGUGUAGACUGUAUGUUAACUGUGUGUAAACUGUGUGUAAACUGUGUGUAGACUGUGUGUAGACUGUGUGUUAACUGUGUGUAGACUGUGUGUUAACUGUGUGUAGACUGUGUGUAGACUGUGUGUUAACUGUGUGUAAACUGUGUGUUAACUGUGUGUUAACUGUGUGUAGACUGUGUGUUAACUGUGUGUAG